rnacentral:rRNA from 1 species
AGCAGCCGCGGUAAUUCCAGCUCCAAUAGCGUAUAUUAAAGUUGUUGCAGUUAAAAAGCUCGUAGUUGAAUUUCGGGAUCAGUUGGUCGGUCGUGCCUCGGUACGUACUGGUCAAAUUGAUUCCUACCUUCUGACGAACCACGAUGUCAUUAAUUUGGUGUCGCGGGAAAUCAGGACUGUUACUUUGAAAAAAUUAGAGUGUUUAAAGCAGGCUCGCGCUUGAAUACAUUAGCAUGGAAUAAUGAAAUAGGACGUUUGAUUCUAUUUUGUUGGUUUCUAGGAUCGACGUAAUGAUUAAUAGGGAUAGUUGGGGGCAUUAGUAUUCAAUUGUCAGAGGUGAAAUUCUUGGAUUUAUUGAAGACUAACUACUGCGAAAGCAUUUGCCAAGGAUGUUUUCAUUAAUCAAGAACGAAAGUUAGGGGAUCGAAGACGAUCAGAUACCGUCGUAGUCUUAACCAUAAACUAUAGCCGACUAGGGAUCGGAUGAUGUUAAUUUUUAAUGACUCAUUCGGCGCCU